rnacentral:rRNA from 1 species
CCUACGGGGGGCAGCAGUGAGGAAUAUUGGUCAAUGGGCGCGAGCCUGAACCAGCCAAGUAGCGUGAAGGAUGACUGCCCUACGGGUUGUAAACUUCUUGUAUAAAGGAAUAAAGUGAGGCACGUGUGCCGUUUUGUAUGUACGUUAUGAAUAAGGAUCGGCUAACUCCGUGCCAGUAGCCGCGGUAAUACGGAGGAGCCGAGCGUUCUCCGGAUUUAUUGGGUUUACAGGGAGCGUAGAUGGGUUGUUAAGUCAGUUGUGAAAGUUUGCGGCUCCACCGUAAAAUUGCAUUUGAUACGGGCAGUCUUGAGUACAGUUGCGGUCGGCGGACUUCGUGGUGUAGCGGU